UAAGACAUCGGUUAGGCCGAGUUUACACGUUUUGUCGCUAAAAACACUCAGUAAGCAUCACCUCCGAAGCCUUGAAUUCCAGUCUAUUCCCACGAAUAGGCCACACCAGUCUGUUGCUAGGCUUAACUUUACAUCGAGUAAAUGUUUAACUAGCAGUCGCUUAACGCGAUUCACAGGUCAAACACUGGUGGUUCGCUCUCUUCAAAUCAAAACGGUUAUUUGAAGUGGAUCGGCGAAUUUAGAUAUGAUCGGUCACUCUUUGUUAAGAAGUCUGAUUAAACGUUCCGUAGGUGAACCGGCGGAAGGAUCAUUAAUGAGUUAGGGUCUUCUAGGCCCGAUCUCCAACCCUAUGUAUAACUACCAUGUUGCUUUGGCGGGCCCGUCUUUAACCGGGCCGUCGGGGGUCUUUGACCUCUGGCCAGUGCCCGCCAGUAGCCCACAACAAAUUCUUUUUAACCAUGUUAAAUCUGAAAAUAGCUAAAUAAACUAAAACUUUCAACAACGGAUCUCUUGGUUCUG
rnacentral:misc_RNA from 1 species